GAAAUGCGAUAAGUAAUGUGAAUUGCAGAAUUCAGUGAAUCAUCGAAUCUUUGAACGCAUCUUGCGCUCCUUGGUAUUCCGAGGAGCAUGCCUGUUUGAGUGUCAUUAAAUUAUCAAAAACCCUCAUCUUUUUGUAUGGGGUUUUUUGGACUUGGGAGUAUGUGCCGGCCCUAAGGUCAGCUCUCCUGAAAUGCAUUAGCAGUACUCUCAGUGGUUGAGUGGCUCUUGGUGUGAUAACUAUCUACGCUAUGGUCCUCCUCCCACUUCCUCAGGGAAGGAGAGUGAAACCGCUUCAUAAUGGUCCAUUGACUUGGACAAAAUGACCAAUUUUGACCUCAAAUCAGGUAGGACUACCCGCUGAACUUAA
rnacentral:rRNA from 1 species